GGGUUGUGAGGUUAAGCGACUAAGCGUACACGGUGGAUGCCCUGGCAGUCAGAGGCGAUGAAGGACGUGCUAAUCUGCGAAAAGCGUCGGUAAGGUGAUAUGAACCGUUACAGCCGGCGAUGUCCGAAUGGGGAAACCCAGUGCAAUUCGUUGCACUAUCGUUAACUGAAUACAUAGGUUAACGAGGCGAACCGGGGGAACUGAAACAUCUAAGUACCCCGAGGAAAAGAAAUCAACCGAGAUUCCCCCAGUAGCGGCGAGCGAACGGGGAGCAGCCCAGAGUCUGAAUCAGCUUGUGUGUUAGUGGAACGGUCUGGAAAGUCCGACGGUACAGGGUGAUAGUCCCGUACACCAAAAUGCACAGGCUGUGAACUCGAAGAGUAGGGCGGGACACGUGGUAUCCUGUCUGAAUAUGGGGGGACCAUCCUCCAAGGCUAAAUACUCCUGACUGACCGAUAGUGAACCAGUACCGUGAGGGAAAGGCGAAAAGAACCCCGGCGAGGGGAGUGAAAAAGAACCUGAAACCGUGUACGUACAAGCAGUGGGAGCACCUUCGGGUGUGACUGCGUACCUUUUGUAUAAUGGGUCAGCGACUUAUAUUCUGUAGCAAGGUUAACCGUAUAGGGGAGCCGCAGGGAAACCGAGUCUUAACUGGGCGUUAAGUUGCAGGGUAUAGACCCGAAACCCGGUGAUCUAGCCAUGGGCAGGUUGAAGGUUGGGUAACACUAACUGGAGGACCGAACCGACUAAUGUUGAAAAAUUAGCGGAUGACUUGUGGCUGGGGGUGAAAGGCCAAUCAAACCGGGAGAUAGCUGGUUCUCCCCGAAAGCUAUUUAGGUAGCGCCUCGUGAA
rnacentral:rRNA from 1 species